GAGUUUGAUCAUGGCUCAGAUUGAACGCUGGCGGAAUGCUUUACACAUGCAAGUCGAGCGGCAGCGCGGGGCAACCUGGCGGCGAGCGGCGAACGGGUGAGUAAUGCAUCGGGACCUACCUAGACGUGGGGAUAACGUAGGGAACUUACGCUAAUACCGCAUACGUCCUACGGGAGAAAGCGGGGGAGUCGCAAGACCUCGCGCGGUUAGAUGGACCGAUGUGCGAUUAGCUAGUUGGUAAGGUAACGGCUUACCAAGGCGACGAUCGCUAGCUGGUCUGAGAGGAUGAUCAGCCACACUGGGACUGAGACACGGCCCAGACUCCUACGGGAGGCAGCAGUGGGGAAUAUUGGACAAUGGGCGCAAGCCUGAUCCAGCAAUGCCGCGUGUGUGAAGAAGGCCCUCGGGUUGUAAAGCACUUUUAUCAGGAGCGAAAUCUGCAUGGUUAAUACCCAUGUAGUCUGACGGUACCUGAGGAAUAAGCACCGGCUAACUCCGUGCCA
rnacentral:rRNA from 1 species